AUGGCAAAAGAAGACGCGUCAGGGUUGGUUGCGCCGAGUGGGGGCCAAGACAGGCUUCCUGGAGGACGAGGAAGAGCUGGGAGAGGAGCGGCAGGACCGCAAAGGCGCCCCUGGGGACGGCGGACUCUCCUGGGCUGGUUGAGCCGGAUUGGCCACUGCCCCAGGCCCGGGCGGCCGUGGUUCCUGGGGCUAAGCGCUGGACAGGCUCCAGCGCCAGCCUCAGGCGCAAGCCGGACACUUGGGGCCUCCCUCACCCUGGCUGCGGGGCGGAGCCGCACCUGCAGCCGCCCGGCUGUCGCCGCUGCGCACCUGGCUCAGGCCUGGACCCCAGGCCCGAGGCUUCCUGAGGCGCCGGCGCCGGACAGAGAAACAGGCUGGGACCAGGGCUCGCCGGACGCCAGCGGAGCUUCCGCCAUCCGCGCUGCUGCGCUCGGAGCGCUGCGACCAGCCAUCCGCGUCCCCGCCUCGGUGCGCGCCCCCACGCGCGAUUCGCGCACUCCCGCCCUCCGUGCGCGUUCCCGACCCGCCUGCUCGCCGCACCCGGAGGGUGUGGGGUACCAAGGCGGUCCCUCUCCUACCAGUGGAGCGGAGCGCGGGAGGUGGAGCAUGAGAGCAGGAGAGCUGGUCAUCGGGGGCCGGGGGAGCGAGACCGAGCCCUUGGUCCGCGGGGCUGCAGCCUUUUACGCAUGUUCCAUCCCUCAGGAGAGACGCAGGGGUGGCGCGUCGAAGAUAGGAGGGAGACGCGCGGAGAUUGCGGGUGCUGAGCAGCGAGCCAGCCGGGGUGGGGGAUGGCGCAGCGAGCGCUGGUCUGAAGCGCCAGGCGGUCAGGGAGGCCUUCCCCGCGCGUGCAGGGCCCGAGGGCAGGAGGAGCUGACGCUUUCUAGGAAUGACAGAGUGUGGGGUGCAGUGCAGGGUGACCGAGGGGCCAGGCUCGUACUUCGAUUCUGGUCGUCCUGGGGAGUGGACUUAGGGGCAGGGAGCAGAGUAGGACAGAGCAGUGGACAUUAACAAAGGGAGGGGAGGAGGAGGCAUCAAGCCAUGUCAGGCCAGACCUGGGAGAUGGUCACACAGUCUAGGGCACAAACUGGAGAGUCUGGCAGACCUCCAGGCCUCUGCACUUCCUGCCUCCAUGUUCCUUAAGUUUCCUAGCCUGAAGUGUGGGGGAUACAGCCUCCCUUCUUGGGAAGGGGUAUUGCUACUCAGGAGGGCCCACCAUGCACCUUUAAGGAGGGCAGGUACACCUCCAAAGUGUGUAGAGGGAGCUGAGGCCUGUGGGGUUGGGGUGCUGCCUCCUCAGCUCUUUCCCAACCUGAGCCCAAGGUGCACCUUGACCUGAGGGUUGAGCACCAGGCCACAGGAGGGUCUAAGCAGGGCUGAGGAUGCUCAGAAGUUGCUGCUCCAGGCUCCUCCUCUGCUGGGGCAGGGAGACUGGAGGGGACCCCUGUCUUAUACAGUGGGUAAUACCAACCCCUUGUCCCUGGGACCUGACUCCCAGGUCAGUGGGGGUGCCAGGAGAAGCCAGCUACCCCUUGCCUUGCUCAGAGGCAAGAGCCUCGGCCAUGGCUGCCUGCAUUUGCUUCCUUAUCUAGAAAGGACCCUGCCCCCUCAGCCCAGCCCACCCAGCCUGAAGCUAAGGUCCAUAGGAUACCGUAGCUCCUUGUGGCUACUCACUCAUUUUGGAGUGUAGGCAUGAGGCAACCUAGGUAAUCAAUGACCGAUAGAGAAGGACAGCUAUGCCUGGGAGAUGAACAGAGGGCAGAAGAGCCCUGCUGGAGGCCCCACUAUUGACUGGGAACUUCUGAACCUGGCCUCCCCACCCCCUACAGACCUGUAGAGCAACAUGGAUGACUCCUCCCCAGUUGAGUUUUGACUAGCCUCAUGGGGUGUCCAGGAGGCAGGUUGCACUGCCCUGUCCUUGUGUGUGCAGGACAGUCCUUCUGGGGGUCUCUUUGCCAGAACCCCCACACAUACUGAACAGAGGGAAGUGCAGUGCCUGGGUGGGCUGGGCGGGCCCCAAAGGAAGGAGCUGCCUGACUCAGCUACAGGAAGAACAGGGGCAGGCGUGGUGAAAACCACCAACUGCAGGGGAAGGGGUGGGUGCCUGGGUGGGGUUUAAGUUUAGGAGAGGAUGUGACUGCAAGGCCAGGAAGCUACAGGGGAAAGUUCUGAUUAAAAUAUACAUAAACAAAAGCCAAGUCCUCACUGUGCUUGGUAGCGGAUCCCUGGCAGGUGUGGUGCUGUGGACACUGCUUGGGGCCCAGUAGAGAGUUUGCUUCCAAAUGCACAUCCAUGAUCACUCCCCCUCACCAGGAAAGAGUUGAAACCUGGUGAUGAUGCCCUCCCUGCGUCAGCACCUGUCCUUGCAACUGGGCCUGGUGACAGGAGGCCUACAGCACACAGUGAACACACCUGCAUGUGUGUGCACACAUAUGUGAGAAUGAGGGCAGCAGGAGGCUGCCAGUGCCACACUGGCAGGGGUCUCAGGAUAGGUGUGAGGUACAGUGUGGAGGCUUCAGGAUGCUUGUGCCCCUAUGCUUUUUGAGAGAAGUUCAAAGUGUCCUGUGUGCUGAGGAGGCAAAAAGGGUGUGUGGUAGGAAGUGUGCUGUGUGGGGUCUGCUAGUGUGCGCACAGGCUGAGCCUGGGGCUCAGUGCAGGUGUGCAUGGGCCAGAGACAGGGUUGCUUAUACCAGGGUAUGCAGAGGAAGGGUGCAAGGGAGGGUGCAGGGGAGAGGGUGUAGGAAGGGUGUACAGAGAAGGGGUGAAAAAAGGGCUCAGGGGAGUGUGUGCAGAGGAGAGAAUGCAAGAAGGGUGUACAGAGGAAGGCUGCAGGGGAAGAGGGUGCAGAGGAAGGUGGGGGGGAGGUGCAGGGGGACAUGUACAAGGGAGUGUACCUGAUGCUUGCUGUGUUUAUAUCCUGACACUGUGGCCUCAACUUUCAGAAGAGUCUGAGGCUGCUCUUGCAGGGUUCCAGGUCUGAGCUGGGCGGUGGGGGGAUUUGAGAGGCCACUGCAGGGAGGGUACAUUGCACAGGGGAGUGUCUCUUACAGUCCCUCAAUGGGCAGUUCUCCUGCUUCAAAAACUUUCCCGGGGCUAUCUUCUUCCCCAAAGGGUUUCUGGAAGGACCCCUUAUCAGUGCCCCAGGGAGCAUGCCUGAGGCUCUAUCAGUUCCCCAGGAAAUGUCAGCCCAGCCAAGGUCACUGUGCCUCCCCCUGUGCAGAAGGAACAGUUACUGGUUAACUCCCUACCAAAGCCCCUGGGGCCAAAUCCCCGAGGUCCCUUCCCAAUGUGUCCACCCAGCAGGGACAAUAAGAAGUUCCCAUAGAAGAAGCAGGGUGAACCUGGGGUACCUAGGAAGGAGAGGAACCCCCAGGGCCUCAGGCACCUCCUUUUGCAGCCUCAUCACUGCAGAGUUCAAUGCGUCACAAGAGACAUCAGGGCUGGGAAUCAUCCUGGGCCCUGUGUAGAAGCAUUGCCCCUUGGUGGGGUAUGGACUUCCCAUGAAGAACUGGACAAAACAAUGUAGACAAAAGUCUUUGGGUUUGAAAGUGACAAGUCAGGUCACAAAGAGGGCACGGCUCUGGGAUCCAGAAGAAGGGAUGGCUGUUAGGCCCUUCAGAGUGGCUUCUGUCUCAGUUUGGCCCUGUUUACCCCUCCAGCCUCCAGGACCUCAGGGCACAGUUGAGCUCAGGGUGUCUGUAGGUGUCCCCAAUCUGCAUGCAUUUGUGGACUCGUGACCGAACCGGGAACAAAACCCCACAGUUGGGAGCAAGUGUGGGCCAGAGCCAGGCAACUAGGCACCUGCCCUGCUGGGGGGGGCUGUCGUGGGCACUGCAGCACCCACCCUCAUGUGACAGCCCCACUGCAGGAGACAGUAAGGAAUGAGACCAAUGGCCACCUUGUGAGAUGGGUCCCCCUGGUACAUGUCCACUGCACCCUGGGCAUCAUGGUGCCCUGAGGUCCUGGAGGCAGGAGGGGUAAACAGGGCCAGGCUGAGACAGAGGGUUGUCCUGCACCCCUGGGCCACAUGAGGUGAUCCCCAUUCUGAUCUUGUGUAAGGGACUCGAGACAACACCCAGCCAGUUCCUAGAAGUUCCACUGGUGGCCGUGAGGCUGGUAGGGUGGCAUCUGGUGAAGGGCCAGUGCUCUCUGAGGCCAACAGUUACUGGUUAACUCAUCCUGUUCCUGUUUAACUUGUUCCCUGCGGAUGGCGGCAGCCUCUGACCCAUCCAGGUGCUGUGCUCUGUCCAACUGACCACAAGGACAGAGAGGUGUCCUGCCAGCCCUUGGUGAACCAGUCUGCUCUGCUAAAGAGCCCUGUGGAGCUGGGGUGGCACCAGUGCCCAGCCUUCUGAAGGAGGCCCUGGUCAGAGCCAUGGCAGGGUCAAGCCUAACUUGUCUGAGACGCUCGUGUCCAGUGUUCUGGAGGUCAACUUGACCAGUACAGAGGACUACGGAACGUUUGCCUGUUCCAUCCUGAACGUCAGCUCUGCCUCCUUUACUCUGCGGAG